rnacentral:tRNA from 2 species
ACUCGGAUAGCCUAAGGUAAGGGCGUUACAUUGAAGCUGUAGAGGUGAUAGAUAUGUCUUUGAGUA